rnacentral:rRNA from 1 species
CCUACGGGUGGCAGCAGUAGGGAAUCUUCCACAAUGGGCGAACGCCUGAUGGAGCAACGCCGCGUGGGUGAAGAAGGUCUUCGGAUCGUAAAACCCUGUUGUUAGAGAAGAAAGUGCGUGAGAGUAACUGUUCACGUUUCGACGGUAUCUAACCAGAAAGCCACGGCUAACUACGUGCCAGCAGCCGCAGGAAUACGUAGGUGGCAAGCGUUAGCCGGAUUUAUUUGGCGUAAAGGGAACGCAGGCGGUCUUUUAAGUCUGAUGUGAAAGUCUUCGGCUUAACCGGAGUAGUGCAUUGGAAACUGGGAGACUUGAGUGCAGAAGAGGAGAGUGGAACUCCAGGUGUAGCGGUGAAAUGCGUAGAUAUAUGGAAGAACACCAGUGGCGAAGGCGGCUUUCUGGUCUGUAACUGACGCUGAGGUUCGAAAGCGUGGGUAGCAAACAGGAUUAGAUACCCUAGUAGUC